AACGAACGCUGGCGGCAGGCCUAACACAUGCAAGUCGAGCGAAGCCUUCGGGCUUAGCGGCGGACGAGUGAGUAACGCGUGGGAACGUGCCCUUUGGUACGGAAUAGCCCCGGGAAACUGGGAGUAAUACCGUAUGUGCCCUUCGGGGGAAAGGUUUAUCGCCAAAGGAUCGGCCCGCGUUGGAUUAGGUAGUUGGUGGGGUAAUGGCCUACCAAGCCGACGAUCCAUAGCUGGUUUGAGAGGAUGAUCAGCCACACUGGGACUGAGACACGGCCCAGACUCCUACGGGAGGCAGCAGUGGGGAAUCUUAGACAAUGGGGGAAACCCUGAUCUAGCCAUGCCGCGUGAUCGAUGAAGGCCUUAGGGUUGUAAAGAUCUUUCAGUGGGGAAGAUAAUGACUGUACCCACAGAAGAAGCCCCGGCUAACUCCGUGCCAGCCGCCGCAGUAAUAC
rnacentral:rRNA from 1 species